rnacentral:rRNA from 1 species
CCUACGGGAGGCAGCAGUGAGGAAUAUUGGUCAAUGGACGGAAGUCUGAACCAGCCAUGCCGCGUGCAGGAAGACGGCUUUAUGAGUUGUAAACUACUUUUGUACAAGAGUAAACCUGAAUACGUGUAUUCUGAUGAAAGUACUGUACGAAUAAGGAUCGGCUAACUCCGUGCCAGCAGCCGCGGUUAUACGGAAGAUCCAAGCGUUAUCCGGAUUUAAUGGGGUUAAAGGGUGCGUAGGCGGAUUAAUAAGUUAGAGGUGAAAUGUCCGGGCUUAACUCGGGAACUGCCUCUAAGACUGUUGUUCUAGAGAGUGGGUGCGGUAGGCGGAAUGUAUGGUGUAGCGGUAAAAUGCGUAGAGAUCA